rnacentral:misc_RNA from 1 species
GCUUAGCCGUAAAAAAUUUACUCACACAAACAACGCCAGGGCACUACGAGCCUCAGCUUAAAACCCAAAGGACUUGACGGUGUCCCACCCCACUAGAGGAGCCUGUUCCAUAAUCGAUAAUCCACGUUAUACCCAACCACCCUUUGCCUUUCAGCCUGUAUACCUCCGUCGUAAGCUUGCCAUGUGAACGCACAACAGCAAGCCAAAGGGCCAAAUUGCCAACACGUCAGGUCAAGGUGCAGCUCACAGAGUGGGGAGUAAUGGGCUACAAUUUCUAUCUUAGAACAAACGAAAUUCUAUAUGAAAUAUAGAUCAUGAAGGCGGAUUUAGCAGUAAAUAGGGAAUAGAGAGCCCUAUUAAAUACGGCCCUGGGACGUGUACAAACCGCCCGUCACCCUCUUCAACAACUACCAAACAAGUUUCUUAACCAAUUUCCCCAAACUAGAAGAGGAAAGUCGAAACAUGGUAAGUGUACUGGAAAGUGCACUUGGAAUAUCAAAAUGUAGCUUAAUAAAAGCCCCCCGCUUACACCGAGAAGUUGUCCGUGCAAUCAGAUCAUUUUGAGCCCCCUUCUAGCCCGUCCCACAACACAUACUACAACCACAAAAAAUUGUUAAGAUAAAACAUUUAAACUCCUUAGUAGAGGUGAUCGAAACUUAACUUGGCGCUUCAGAGAAAGUACCGCAAGGGAAACUUGAAAUAAAAAUGAAAUAACUAAGCCCGAAACAGCAGAGACAUUACCUCGUACCUUUCGCAUCAUGGCCUAGCUAGUCUAAUCAAGCAAGAUGAAAACCUAAGUUUGAACCCCCGAAACUAAGCGAGCUACUCCAAAACAGCUUUACGAGCUAACCCGUCUCUGUGGCAAUAGAGUGGGAAGAUUUUCUAGUAGAGGUGAUAAGCCUACCGAGCUUAGAAAUAGCUGGUUACUCAGAAAAAGAAUUUUAGUUCUGCCUUAAACCUUUACCCAGACACAAAACCGCCCCUAAAGUUUAAGAGUUAUUCAAUUAGGGCACAGCCUAUUUGAAACAGAAUACAAUCUAGACAACAGGGUAAACUUCUACAUCAUUAUACCCAGUAGGCCUAAAAGCAGCCACCUGUGAAAAAGCGUUAAAGCUUAAUUUAACCCACCCUCUAAUACCACUAAGAACCAUGAACCCUUCACCUAUACUGAGUGAUACUAUAAACAUAUAGUAGACACAAUGCUAGGACUAGUAACAAGAAUAUAAAAUUCUCCUAAAUAUUAGUAUAAACCAGAACGGAUCAACCACUGGUAAUUAACGGUAAUGAACCUACUGCAGCAACCCCACAAGAAAACCCUGCAUUCUCACCCGUUAACCUUACACUAGACUAUUUAAGGAAAGAUUAAUAGACAAAGAAGGAACUCGGCAAACUCUAACUCCGCCUGUUUACCAAAAACAUCGCCUCUUGCCUACUAUAAGAGGUCCAGCCUGCCCAGUGACAAAUUUAACGGCCGCGGUACCCUAACCGUGCAAAGGUAGCAUAAUCAUUUGUCCUUUAAAUAAGGACUUGUAUCAACGGAACCACGAGAGUUACACUGUCUCCUUUCUCUAAUCAGUGAAAAUGAUCUCCCCGUGAAGAAGCGGGGAUGAAACUAUAAGACGAGAAGACCCCAUGGAGCUUCAAACUGAACAGCAACUCUAUCACCUACCCCCACAUAAAAUAGAGAUAUGCACGUAAGCUUUGGGUUGGGGCGACCGCGGAGUAUAAGAUAACCUCCACAACGAAAAGA